UAAUGCCCUAGGAAAUGCCUAG
rnacentral:miRNA from 1 species